GAUGAACGCUGGCGGCGUGCCUAAUACAUGCAAGUCGAACGCUGGAAAUCUAGCUUGCUAGAUUGAAGGAGUGGCGAACGGGUGAGUAAUACAUAAGCAACCUACCCACGAAGACUGGGAUAAUCUCUGGAAACGGGGACUAAUACCGGAUAGGUAAUCGGAAGGCAUCUUCUGAUUAUUAAAGGUUAAAAACACUGAUGGAUGGGCUUAUGGCGCAUUAGUUAGUUGGUGAGGUAACGGCCCACCAAGACGAUGAUGCGUAGCCGGCCUGAGAGGGUGAACGGCCACAUUGGGACUGAGACACGGCCCAGACUCCUACGGGAGGCAGCAGUAGGGAAUUUUCGGCAAUGGGGGAAACCCUGACCGAGCAACGCCGCGUGAGUGAUGACGGCCUUCGGGUUGUAAAGCUCUGUUGUAAGGGAAGAACGGUAGAUAGAGAAUAUCUAAAUGACGGUACCUUACCAGAAAGCCACGGCUAACUACGUG
rnacentral:rRNA from 1 species